rnacentral:rRNA from 1 species
AGUGAACGCUGGCGGUAGGCCUAACACAUGCAAGUCGAACGGCAGCACAGUAAGAGCUUGCUCUUACGGGUGGCGAGUGGCGGACGGGUGAGGCAUACAUCGGAAUCUACUUUUUCGUAGGGGAUAACGUAGGGACACUUACGCUACUACCGCAUAUGACCUACGGGUGAAAGCAGGGGAUCUUCGCACUUUGCGCGAUUGAAUGAGCCGAUGUCGGAUUAGCUAGUUGGCGGGGUAAAGGCCCACCAAGGCGACGAUCCGUAGCUGGUCUGAGAGGAUGAUCAGCCACACUGGAACUGAGACACGGUCCAGACUCCUACGGGAGGCAGCAGUGGGGAAUAUUGGACAAUGGGCGCAAGCCUGAUCCAGCAAUACCGCGUGGGUGAUGAAGGCCUUCGGGUCGUAAAGCCCUGUUGUUGGGAAAGAAAAGCAGUAGGUGAAUACCCCGCUGUUCUGACGGUACCCAAAGAAUAAGCACCGGCUAACUUCGUG